rnacentral:rRNA from 1 species
AUUGAACGCUGGCGGCAUGCCUUACACAUGCAAGUCGAACGGCAGCACGGAGCUUGCUCUGGUGGCGAGUGGCGAACGGGUGAGUAAUAUAUCGGAACGUACCCUGGAGUGGGGGAUAACGUAGCGAAAGUUACGCUAAUACCGCAUACGAUCUAAGGAUGAAAGUGGGGGACUCGCAAGAGCCUCAUGCUCGUGGAGCGGCCGAUAUCUGAUUAGCUAGUUGGUAGGGUAAAAGCCUACCAAGGCAUCGAUCAGUAGCUGGUCUGAGAGGACGACCAGCCACACUGGAACUGAGACACGGUCCAGACUCCUACGGGAGGCAGCAGUGGGGAAUUUUGGACAAUGGGCGCAAGCCUGAUCCAGCAAUGCCGCGUGAGUGAAGAAGGCCUUCGGGUUGUAAAGCUCUUUUGUCAGGGAAGAAACGGUGAGAGCUAAUAUCUUUUGCUAAUGACGGUACCUGAAGAAUAAGCACCGGCUAACUACGUGCCAGCAGCCGCGGUAAUACGUAGGGUGCAAGCGUUAAUCGGAAUUACUGGGCGUAAAGCGUGCGCAGGCGGUUUUGUAAGUCUGAUGUGAAAUCCCCGGGCUCAACCUGGGAAUUGCAUUGGAGACUGCAAGGCUAGAAUCUGGCAGAGGGGGGUAGAAUUCCACGUGUAGCAGUGAAAUGCGUAGAUAUGUGGAGGAACACCGAUGGCGAAGGCAGCCCCCUGGGUCAAGAUUGACGCUCAUGCACGAAAGCGUGGGGAGCAAACAGGAUUAGAUACCCUGGUAGUCCACGCCCUAAACGAUGUCUACUAGUUGUCGGGUCUUAAUUGACUUGGUAACGCAGCUAACGCGUGAAGUAGACCGCCUGGGGAGUACGGUCGCAAGAUUAAAACUCAAAGGAAUUGACGGGGACCCGCACAAACGGUGGAUGAUGUGGAUUAAUUCGAUGCAACGCGAAAAACCUUACCUACCCUUGACAUGGAUGGAAUCCCGAAGAGAUUUGGGAGUGCUCGAAAGAGAACCAUUACACAGGUGCUGCAUGGCUGUCGUCAGCUCGUGUCGUGAGAUGUUGGGUUAAGUCCCGCAACGAGCGCAACCCUUGUCAUUAGUUGCUACGAAAGGGCACUCUAAUGAGACUGCCGGUGACAAACCGGAGGAAGGUGGGGAUGACGUCAAGUCCUCAUGGCCCUUAUGGGUAGGGCUUCACACGUCAUACAAUGGUACAUACAGAGCGCCGCCAACCCGCGGGGGGGAGCUAAUCGCAGAAAGUGUAUCGUAGUCCGGAUUGUAGUCUGCAACUCGACUGCAUGAAGUUGGAAUCGCUAGUAAUCGCGGAUCAGCAUGUCGCGGUGAAUACGUUCCCGGGUCU